GUUAAAGUCAUCAUGCCGUAUUUUUAGUUUUCUUUGUAAGGAAGGAGUUAUCUUAUGACGCAGUACAAUGCAUAUAUAUUAUAUUAAGUUAGUGAAAGUAUAAUGUUCACACCGGUGGGACUCUUCACACUUAAAAUCGCUCAGUGGCUCAACAAGACUCAAGUUAGGCUACAAAAAAUAAAGUUGCCAUGGGUGAUAGUCUGUCAUGACUAUCUAGGCAAGAGGGUCUUCCAGGUCCCCCCGUCUACAGUGAUCAGGUACAUCAAAAACCUGAUCUGCCAAGAAACAGACUAUCCUGUGUAUCAGCAGCAGCUGUUUCACAAUGGAAAACUGGUGAGCUGGAAAUGUUUGUAAAGCUUUUCCCGAUUAUAUUUCAUGAACAGUUAAAAAAACAGCAAUAAUGAUCUGUUAGGGGGAUUCUAUGAAGAUAAUCUCCAAAUGAAGAGCAUCACCUCACGGUGCCUUCCCCAUGUGAUCAGAAUCACCCCUCCGAAAUACACAGGUUUAUAAUCCACCCAAAGAAGCUGAUUUAGAACCUGGGCAGAGGCCAGACUGUUUAAAUGUGCUCUAUUGUGUUGUAAUCUGUGUGCAGCCCAGGGUAAGAGCCCAUGAUAGGUUCCAGUGUUUUGCAGUGUAAACACAGCCAAAACCACAGUGGUGUUUGUGCCUUUCCACUAUACAGAUCACAACAAAUUGCAUAUAAAUAAAAUCUAUUAGCAUUUUCUUUUGUUGCAGUUUUUACUUCACAGGAUGAAAUUGGAAUUAAACAUUUUAAUACUAGAUUUUUAAUAGAGUGGAGCUUUUCCAUGCAAGGUUGCACUGCUAUGUGGUUGAUAUGAUUUUAUAAGUAUAUUUAAGGUGUUCUGUGUGGUUGUUAAUCCUAAAUUGGGGUGUGCAGUUUCCCAUUUUGGAGGCUGGUUUUGAGUGCUAGGUUCUGGAGGAUGCAGCAGACUACCACACUGUCAUAUUUUACCGUACAGCAUCAUUCCACUAUUCCAGGCAGUUCUUGGCCCUUUAAAAAUCAAAAGUGCACUUGAUUGUACCGUUCAUCUGGAUAUAUGCAAAGUUUACUCAAAGGUGCUCAUUUGAUGAAAUGCUGCUAUCAUGAUCUAUAUAAAUUGUAAACAAACAUCUCUCAUUUUAAUAUUGCAAAAAAUAAUAAAUAGUUAUUAUUUAAAAAAAAAAAUUCCAAGUAAAGCGGUUUGUGUAUCCUGUGGGCCCUAUCAUACACCCGGCGCAAUGCGGCGCGAGUGUUUUUGCUAGUUUCAGCCCGACGCAGUUCUCAUUUUCCCGUCCUGCGCCACAUGUUUAAAUAACAAAUGCAUUUGCACCCAUUUGUGCAUCCCAUGGGCGUGCUGGUCUAAAAAAGAGGUGUGUUCAGGCACAUUGUUGGUGCAUUGCUAUUUCGAGGAACUGAAAAUAGACUGCGUCAUAGACCAACUCAAACCUGGUCUAAAGUCUGGCGCAAUAUCUUUCCUUUGUUAUUUAAAGAGCGCGUUAGUAAUAUGCACCUAUAGGUGGGUGCACAACGCACGUACACUUUGCUUAUUACACACAUUUUAAAAAUGAAAAAAUAAAUUCCACCAUGUAAAUAGCGAACCUGCCAUGGCGCAAGCCCAGCUGGCUUUUAAAGGGGAUGGGAGAUGAGACUCUGAUUGGUUUAUUGCAGGUUUCACCCCAAAACACCCAUUUUUCCCAUCGUUGAACUAGUAAAAGUGGAUUCGGACACGCCCUGAGUGCACCUGCGCUUUAGACCAUGCGUUUAGAUCGUUAAAAUAGGGCCCUAUGUGUUCAAAAUACAGAACUAUAGCAAUGGGCAUAUCGCUUUCAACACUCGCUGUACACCGUAGACCAUAGGAUGGGUUUAGAGAUGUAAUCCUAUUGUAGGAGACUCCCGAAACAAUAUUAGGAACCUAAU
rnacentral:lncRNA from 1 species